rnacentral:rRNA from 1 species
UUUCCGGUUGAUCCCGCCGGACCUGACUGCUAUCGCGAUUGAUACUAAGCCAUGCGAGUCAUUGUAGCAAUACAAGGCAGACGGCUCAGUAACGCGUAGUCAACCUACCCUAUGGACGGGAAUAACCUCGGGAAACUGAGAAUAAUGCCCGAUAGAACAUUAUGCCUGGAAUGGUUUAUGUUUAAAAUGAUUUAUCGCCGUAGGAUGGGACUGCGGCCUAUCAGUUUGUUGGUGAGGUAAUGGCCCACCAAGACUAUUACAGGUACGGGCUCUGAGAGGAGUGGCCCGGAGAUGGGUACUGAGACACGGACCCAGGCCCUAUGGGGCGCAGCAGGCGAGAAAACUUUGCAAUGUGCGAAAGCACGACAAGGUUAAUCCGAGUGGUUUCUGCUAAAGGAACCUUUUGUCGGUCCUAGAAACACCGAUGAAUAAGGGGUGGGCAAGUUCUGGUGUCAGCCGCCGCGGUAAAACCAGCACCUCAAGUGGUCAGGAUGAUUAUUGGGCCUAAAGCAUCCGUAGCCUGCUCUGUAAGUUUUCGGUUAAAUCCAUAUGCUCAACAUAUGGGCUGCCGGGAAUACUGCAGAGCUAGGGAGUGGGAGAGGUAGACGGUACUUGGUAGGAAGGGGUAAAAUCCUUUGAUNUAUUGAUGACCACCUGUGGCGAAGGCGGUCUACCAGAACACGUCCGACGGUGAGGGAUGAAAGCUGGGGGAGCAAACCGGAUUAGAUACCCGGGUAGUCCCAGCUGUAAACAAUGCAAACUCAGUGAUGCAUUGGNUUGUGGCCAAUGCAGUGUUGCAGGGAAGCCGUUAAGUUUGCCGCCUGGGAAGUACGUACGCAAGUAUGAAACUUAAAGGAAUUGGCGGGGGAGCACCACAAGGGCGUGAAGCCUGCGAGUUCACAUUGGAUUCAACGCCGGGAAUCG